rnacentral:rRNA from 1 species
UACAGAGGUCUCAAGCGUUGUUCGGAUUCAUUGGGCGUAAAGGGAGCGUAGGCGGCGGGGUUAGUCAGGUGUGAAAUCUCGGGGCUCAACCCCGAAACUGCACUUGAUACUGCCUUGCUAGAGUACUGGAGAGGAGAUUGGAAUUUACGGUGUAGCAGUGAAAUGCGUAGAUAUCGUAAGGAAGACCAGUGGCGAAGGCGAAUCUCUGGACAGUUACUGACACUGAGGCUCGAAGGCCAGGGGAGCAAACGGG